rnacentral:rRNA from 1 species
GUACACGCUGUGACUAGUAUAUCAAUAAGCGGAGGAAAAGAAACUAACAAGGAUUCCCCUAGUAACGGCGAGUGAAGCGGGAAGAGCUCAAAUUUGAAAUCUUAAAGGGUUUCCCUUUACGAAUUGUAGUUUAAAGAAGUGUUUUCUGUUGAGGUUUUGGUAAAAGUUCUUUGGAAUAGGACAUCAUAGAGGGUGAGAAUCCCGUAUUUGACCUUUACUUUCAACUUUGUGAUACACUUUCAAAGAGUCGGAUUGUUUGGGAAUGCAGUCCAAAAUGGGUGGUAAAUUUCAUCUAAAGCUAAAUAUUGGCGAGAGACCGAUAGCGAACAAGUACCGUGAGGGAAAGAUGAAAAGAACUUUGAAAAGAGAGUUAAACAGUACGUGAAAUUGUCAAAAGGGAAGCGUUUGACACCAGUGUUGUUUUUCUGAAAUUCAAUUAAAGGACUGUUUAUGCUAAGCUGUUUAGACUUUAUCAGCUAUCUGUUUAGUUUUGAGCUUUUCUUUAAUGCACUUUUCAGUUAACAAGUCAACAUCAAUUUCUUUUGCUGUAAAAAAGCUUGAGGAAGGUGGCUUGAGAUUCGUCUUAAGUGUUUAUAGCCUCUUGCCUAUGCAGUCGGAGAGAUUGAGGUCUGCAGCGUAGAUCCUUCGGGGCUAAAUGCAUUUGUGCUAAGUUAUAGCAUUUUAUAGACAACUUGUUGACUAUGAUUUGUCUUGUAGCUUACUCGCUUAUGUUAUUUUACCUACGCUUAGGAUGUUGACGCGCGUGUGUGCGUG